rnacentral:rRNA from 1 species
GAUGAACGCUGGCGGCGUGCCUAAUACAUGCAAGUCGAGCGAACAGACGAGGAGCUUGCUCCUCUGACGUUAGCGGCGGACGGGUGAGUAACACGUGGAUAACCUACCUAUAAGACUGGGAUAACUUCGGGAAACCGGAGCUAAUACCGGAUAAUAUAUUGAACCGCAUGGUUCAAUAGUGAAAGACGGUUUUGCUGUCACUUAUAGAUGGAUCCGCGCGGCAUUAGCUAGUUGGUAAGGUAACGGCUUACCAAGGCGACGAUGCGUAGCCGACCUGAGAGGGUGAUCGGCCACACUGGAACUGAGACACGGUCCAGCCUCCUACGGGAGGCAGCAGUAGGGAAUCUUCCGCAAUGGGCGAAAGCCUGACGGAGCAACGCCGCGUGAGUGAUGAAGGUCUUCGGAUCGUAAAACUCUGUUAUUAGGGAAGAACAAAUGUGUAAGUAACUAUGCACGUCUUGACGGUACCUAAUCAGAAAGCCACGGCUAACUACGUG